CCUACGGGGGGCCGCAGUGGGGAAUAUUGGGCAAUGGGCGCAAGCCUGACCCAGCAACGCCGCGUGAAGGAAGAAGGCUUUCGGGUUGUAAACUUCUUUUAAGAGGGAAGAGCAGAAGACGGUACCUCUUGAAUAAGCCACGGCUAACUACGUGCCAGCAGCCGCGGUAAUACGUAGGUGGCAAGCGUUGUCCGGAUUUACUGGGUGUAAGGGGCGUGUAGCCGGGCUGACAAGUCAGAUGUGAAAUCCCGUGGCUCAACCACGGAACUGCAUUUGAAACUGUCGGUCUUGAGUAUCGGAGAGGCAGGCGGAAUUCCGAGGGUAGCGGUGAAAUGCGUAGAUAUUAGGAGGAACACCAGUGGCGAAGGCGGCCUGCUGGACGACAACUGACGGUGAGGCGCGAAAGCGUGGGGAGCAAACAGGAUUAGAUACCCCGGUAGUC
rnacentral:rRNA from 1 species